CAGCCCCCUCUAGCGCCCGCCUGGGGGCCCGCGGCUUCCCCGGGCUGGGGUCCGCAAGGAGCUAGCCCUGUGGUUGCCCCGUGGGUGAGCGCUGAGUGGGGCCGGUGCUGUGGCUGCUCCCAGACCCCUGCUGCCAGUCCUGGGCUUUCCUGGAGCGAUUCCUGCUGAAAUCCGCCUUCUCGCUUGCUCUGUCCCUUAGCCACAGCCACGCCUUCAUCAUGCAAAAAGCGGUGUGUUUGCUUUAAAAAUAGAGGUGAGACAGAAGGGUAAGCGUGAUCUCACUUCACCUGCCUGCAAGUUUUCGGCCUUAAAACAACAACAUCUGGAGCCGUUUUCAUAGUCGGUGGAGGAGCAAGCCCUGGAAGGACUGGAGAGGAGCUGGGCAAGGCUGAGGUGCUGCCAGAGGAGGCACUGAGGUGUCCCGCACAUCAAGCCCAAUGCCUCUGCUUGGCACAGCCACCUCUCCCAUCGCACCACACUGCACCAGACCGACAGAGGAUAUCAUGUCAGUGGAAGCAGGUUCUCAGAGUAUAAGCAGGUCGUUUAACAUCAUCCGUAGAUUUUGCCUCCUGCCUGCUCACCACGGUUCCCAAAUCACCGGUAGAUAUGUAUGCCAGAUCUAACCUGGUCCCCACGCCACCCUCUUGUCACCAGCGAAGGAAGUUUCCUUCACAAGGAAUGGGGUGAGCUCAUCUGCUUGCUUCCCCAGGAUGCUCUUUGCUGGUUUUGACCCUGCAGGAGUGAUUUUUCCUGCUCUGCUUUCUGCAGAGGCACUAAGGAGAGUGAUGGCUGUGUUGGCCACCCAGGAGAGCAUGGCUUGGAGGACGCCAAGAUGUGGCUUCUAGGAAACCAACAGACCAUAGUUUUCAGCAAUGUUUGCCAGCUCUGCUCAGCUUUAGACAUUAAGCUGGAAGUCCAAAGCCAGCCACAGGGCCAGGUUUGCCCUCACUGCUGCUAUUACAAACCAGUGAAACAUCCCUGGAUUUCACCCCAGUAAAUCAGGGCGGCACAGGAGGAUGCUUGCGCCCGCAGACCACCUCCUUCGUCACUCCAUCACUGCAGUGAAGAAGUGGGGAAUGCGUUGCCCAAGCAGAGCCCCCAUGCCCAUGAUGCCUGCACCCAGGCAAGGGAAGGGGCUCCCAUGUUUCAGGGUCCCUGAGGCUCUGGUUCCAUUUCCCGUUGUGCUGCCUGCAGAAGGCAGGGGUCAGAGAGGAAGAGGAGAAUUUUUCAGGUUUUGCCAUAGGAAGGAUUUUCAACCCCUGUAAAUUCACUUUUGACAAGCAAACGGCUAAAGCAGAUUAACCUUUUUGCUAAUCCUCUAUAAUGGCUUUGGAAUCUCCUUAACCAAUAAGAAAAUGAUAAGAGCCUG